rnacentral:rRNA from 1 species
UACGGGGGGGGGCAAGCGUUGUUCGGAAUUACUGGGCGUAAAGGGCUCGUAGGUGGCCAACUAAGUCGGACGUGAAAUCCCUCGGCUUAACCGGGGAACUGCGUCCGAUACUGGUUGGCUUGAGUUUGGGAGAGGGAUGCGGAAUUCCAGGUGUAGCGGUGAAAUGCGUAGAUAUCUGGAGGAAUACCGGUGGCGAAGGCGGCAUCCUGGACCGGCAUUGACGCUGAGGAGCGAAAGCCAGGGGAGCAAACGGG